GGGCCUGUGGCCUAGUUUGGAUAUGGCGGCAGCCUCCUAAGCUGCAAAUCGGGGGUUCAAAUCCCCCCAGGCCCG
rnacentral:tRNA from 1 species